rnacentral:lncRNA from 1 species
UAAAGAAAAGAGGUUUCAUUGGCUCUUGAUUCUGCAGGUUGUACAGGAAGCAUGGUGCUGGCAUCUGCUUCCGAUGAGGGCCUCAGGGAGCUUACAAUCAUGGUGGAAGACGAAGGGGAGCCAAUGUUUCACAUGUUGAGAGUGAGAGCAAGAGAGAGGGAGGGGAGGCAGCCACACACUUUUAAACAACCAGAUUUUUUUUUUUUUUUAGAUGGAGUCCUGCUCUGUUGCCCAGGCUGGAGUGCAGCAGCGUGAUCUCGGCUCACUGCAACCUCCACCUCCCAGGUUCAAGCGAUUCUCCUGCCUCAGGCUCCUGAGUAGCUGCGAUUACAGGCGCGUGCCACCAUGCCCGGCUAAUUUUUGUAUUUUUAGUAGAGGCAGGGUUUCACCAUGUUGGUCAGGCUAGUCUCGAACUCCUGACAUCGUGAUCCACCCGCCUCGGCCUCCUAAAGUGCUGGGAUUACAGGCGUGAGCCACCCUGCCUGGCCUAAGCAACCACAUCUUGCAUGAACUAACUGAGCGAGAACUCACUUAUCACUGAAGGGAUGGCGCUACACCAUUCACGAGGGGCUAUUCCCAUGAUCCAAUCACCUCCCACCAGGCCCCACCUCCAACAGUGGGGAUCACAUUUCAACAUGAGAUUUGGAGAGGACAAACAUCCAAACGAUAUCAGGCUGAAAACACGGCUGGCACUUGAAACUUUAGAGAAGUCACCUUUUCCCUGGGCUCCUCGCUCUGGUCUCCCUGAGACUGUCACAGCGGCUUCAUAGGUGCUUCGAGUUUCUUUGCCACCCCCUGAUCAGGCCUUCUGUGUUUUGUAGUAGUCGCCUUCCCAGAUUUAUUGAGUAGCUCAGCUGAACCAAGGUCUGAGCAUUCAAUUAGGUCUUGUUAUUCAUCCGUUCACCAAAUAUUUAGUGAGCCAUGUGCCAGGCACAUUUCUAGCUGCUGAUACAGCUGUGAACAAGACAGAUGAAGCCCUUGCCCUUCGUGGAGCUCACAUUUUAAUAAAUAGUUUGGAGGCGGACAAAGAGAAAAUAAACAGAGAAACACGAACCUGGAGCAUUUGGCUCACAACUUAGAGUUGACUCAUCUUCAGUUUGACGUCCCUCCUGCUACGAGUUCCUGGCUAACUGACAUCUCUUCUCCUCAAGCAGAUGCUAACUUUGAGCCCUACCACUGAUGGCAUUUGAGGGGGAGAGGAUAAGCCAAGGGAAGAGGAAAAUCAAAAUGCUUUCAGCAGCACGGCUUCCGCAUGCUGGAGAGGUGGUGUAUGGGGUUGCGGCUUGGCCUGUUUUCUGAAACCUGCAAGGUAGCACCCUGAAGGUAGCUUGUAACCCUCCACUCUCACACCAAGAGGAGGAGACCAAAGCCAGAGAGAGGAAGUGAGCUCUGGAAGGCCACCCAGUGAGCUCCUGCUAGAGCCAGCCCCAAAAAGCAGCCGAACUCAGCCCAGCUGCCCCGUCUCCUUCCACGACCUCUGGCUGCUUCCUGGAAGGCAGGAUUACUAAAUUGAUAGACGGCAGGAGGUCCGUGAACUUGGAUGGGAAGAAAAAUUACAUCUUCAUUUUCGCUAACCUCUCACUGAAAUCCUUUAAUAGACGUAGGAAACAAACCACAGUGAUAUUGG